rnacentral:ncRNA from 1 species
GCUUAGAAUCCCCCAGAGAUGUUGUGUGAAUAGCCCUGUCUUUGGCCAGGCAGAGUGGUUCGUGAAUC